rnacentral:rRNA from 1 species
UACGUAGGGUGCGAGCGUUGUCCGGAAUUAUUGGGCGUAAAGAGCUUGUAGGCGGUUUGUCGCGUCUGCCGUGAAAAUCCGGGGCUCAACCCCGGGCUUGCGGUGGGUACGGGCAGACUAGAGUGUGGUAGGGGAGACUGGAAUUCCUGGUGUAGCGGUGAAAUGCGCAGAUAUCAGGAGGAACACCGAUGGCGAAGGCAGGUCUCUGGGCCACUACUGACGCUGAGAAGCGAAAGCAUGGGGAGCGAACAGG